rnacentral:lncRNA from 1 species
AGGAGAAUUAGAAGGCUUAGAGAUGGAAAAUUCGGAGAAGAAAAGAAUUAUGUCUUCAGAUUUCUGGAGGGGCUAGCUGGUGACUACGAGUCCAGAGAACAUUCACCACGACAUUCAUUAGAAGGGAGGAGUGAAAGGUGUCCACCAGAGCAUCUUCUGAUUCUCCUCAGAGCCCUGUGUGUGAGUUAUAUAAGUCCUCAGGAGCCUGCAGGCCUGGAGCAAAGUCAUGCUACAGGAAGAGAACUACUGACAAUAGCAUCCUGGUACUCCAGGGACCUAAGAGAGACUGCCCGAGACACACUGCUCCAAGGCUGGUGGAAGCUGGAAGUGAACAAGAAAGGUAGCGACUGUGAUAGGACAAGAGGAACCACAGACUGCAAGGAGGACAGGAAGUGCACAGAGCCACCACAAGAAAUCCACCUGGCUUUCUCUUGACUUGGGAAAAUGAUGUUCCAGGGUUCAGUAUGUCAUCAGCAACCUUCAGGACCCUGCAUGGUGAGUAUCUUGUUUCUUCCACCUUCUAGGUGUUCCACUAUGUCUUGGGACAUGAGGUGGGUGAUGUUUUUCUUUGAUGUCAAUGAGACAAUUUGUGUUGUCAAUUCUUCCAAUGAUCUCUCUUUACAUGGUCUGAGAUUUGUCUUGAUCUGCUGAAAGCAUGAUUCCACCACUAAGGUAAUGUUUUACACGGUCUUGAUGCCUGCCUUGCCCAUCUUCCUGGUACCCAGCCUGGAGGUGAUGUCUCAGAGCCAUAACCUGCACUUCAG